ncrna:Heliconius melpomene (postman butterfly) microRNA hme-mir-965 precursor
UAACUGAACGGGAGAAGUUAUAGCGCUGUAUGUUAUGUUAUAGCCAUAAGCGUAUAGCUUUUCCCCUUGGUUG